rfam:Streptomyces avermitilis MA-4680 = NBRC 14893 DNA, complete genome.
GUCGCGUAAGCGCCGCAGGCAGGAGCGGGGGACCCAAGGUAGGCGCCGGGCCCAGCACUUGAGGCUGGUCCGGCUAGGGGUGAAGUCGCGCGCCGGAAUCGGCAGAGGAAGGCGCGCGGCCGGGCAACUCAACCGGCCCGAACCCGACAGCUCACCUCGUAGGCGUCGGUGAGGGGAUCA